rnacentral:rRNA from 1 species
UGCCUCCCGACGCCUCUUUAUGGAAGGUACGCCCUGCCCGGUGAGCUACGGCUUAAACGGCCGCGGUACCCUGACCGUGCAAAGGUAGCAUAAUCAUUUGCCUUUUAAUUGUAGGCUAGUAUGAAUGGGUACACGAGGGAGCCCCUGUCUCCUUUUUAUUAAGUUAAAUUGACCUUCAGGUGAAGAUGCCUGAAUAAUAAAAAAAGACAAAAAGACCCUGUUGAGUUUUAUACCCGCCCCCCCCUCAUUGUUAGCAAUAACUGUAUGACGUGACUCGGGGGGAGUUAUUUGGUUGGGGCAACCGAGGAGCAACUAAACCCUCCUCUUAAACUAAAGACUCUAAGUCUACAAGACCCGCUAUGCGAGCAAAAAAAUGACACUACCACAGGGAUAACAGGCUAAUUUCUUCAGAGAGCUCAAAUUGACGAAGAAGUUUGGCACCUCGAUGUUGGCUUAGGGCAUCCCUCAAGUGCAGCAGCUUGAAAGGGUUGGUUUGUUCACCCAUUAAAGCCCUACGUG